rnacentral:rRNA from 1 species
GGGGGAAAAUUAAUAAAAAAAAAAAUAAUAAAAAAAUUUUUAAUAUUGGGGGAUAUUAAAGUAUUUUUUAAAAAAAAAAUAAAAAAAAUUAUAGUUAAUUAGUAUUGUAAAAUAAAUUUGAAAUAGGUGAAAAUAAAUUAUUAAAAAAGUAAUUUUUAUUUAAUGUAUCUUGUGUAUCAGAGUUUAUUAAAAAAUAUUUUUUAAUAAAAAAAAUCUCGAAUUUAAAAGAGUUAAUUAAUUAUAAAAUUUAAUGUUGAAUAAUUAUUUUAAAUAAUUAAUUAGAAAUGAAAUGUUAAUCGUUUUUAAAUAUAUCUAGUUUUUUUAGAAAUAAAUUUAAUUUAAAAUUUAAAAAAUUUUAUUAUAAAUUAUUAAUUAUUUUUAUUUAUAAUAACAUAUUUAAAAUUAAAUAUAUUAGGGGAUAAGCUUUAAUAUAAAAAAUUAUAAUUAAAAAUUAAAUUAAAAUAAAAAUUUUAAAAUUUAUAUUGUUUAAAAAUUAUAAUUUAUUAUAAAAAAUUUUAUUUAAAAUAAAAUUUAAUAAAAAUUUAACUUUAUAUAAAAUAAAUGAUUUAAAAUAAAAAAAAAUUAAUAAUAAUGAUAAAAUUAGUAUAUUAUAGAUAAAAAUAAAUAAAAAUAAUUAAAAUUAAAUUAAAGGAAUUCGGCAAAUAUAUAUAUUCACUUGUUUAUCAAAAACAUGUCUUUUAGAAAAUAAUUUAAAGUCUAAUCUGCCCACUGAUAAUUAUAUUAAAGGGCUGCAGUAUAUUGACUGUACAAAGGUAGCAUAAUCAAUAGUCUUUUAAUUGAAGACUUGUAUGAAGGAUUUGAUGAGAUAUAAACUGUCUCUAAUUUAUUUAUAGAAUUUAAUUUUUUAGUUAAAAAGCUAAAAUUUAUUUAAAAGACGAGAAGACCCUAUAGAGUUUUAUAUUUAUAUUAUUUAAGAUUUUAUUUUUAAUUAAUAAUUAAAAAUAAUACGGAUAUUUUAUUGGGGUGAUAAAAAAAUUAAAAUAACUUUUUUUUAAAAAAUUUAACAAAAAUAAGUGAAAUAAUGAUCCAUAAUUUAUGAUUAAAAGAAAUAAUUACCUUAGGGAUAACAGCGUAAUAUUUUUUUUUAGUACAAAUAAAAAAAAAAGUUUGCGACCUCGAUGUUGGAUUAAGAUAAAAUUUAAAUGCAAAAGUUUAAAAUUUUGAUCUGUUCGAUCAUUAAAAUCUUACAUGAUCUGAGUUCAAACCGGUGUAAGCCAGGUUGGUUUCUAUCUUUAAAAAUUUAAAAUAUUUUAGUACGAAAGGAUCAAAUAUUUUUAAUAAUUAAAUUUGAUUUGAAUAUUAAUAAAAAUAAUUAU